rnacentral:rRNA from 1 species
AUGGUGCUCCUGCAUUUGGGGUUUAGAUAUGUGCAGCAGAAGAACUACUUCAGUUCUAAUCCUAAACUCAUCUGGAGUCUAUCUGGUUUUACACAACGCGUGACUGUCCAGAUAUCAUUACUAGCUUCCGUCAUAGCUGGGAUCAAUGAAAGAGUCUGUACUUGCAACCUAUUAACCAAAAUAGCAAUGUGUUGUGAUUUUGAGGUCAGUGGCCAAAACAAUUCUGUACUUACAACCUGCACGAUGGUUUCUGUGGCCCUCCUCCGAUCAGAGCACUACUAUGCAAUAAACAUAGCCUUUGCACAAUUCAAGCUGUCAAUUAUGCAAACACCUUGGAUACACUGUGUAUCUAUUGCCGAGAAUGUCAGGAGUCCCUAUUCAGCGGUGUUCAACAUCAACGAGAUUAUUAUUCAGCUUCAGAGUGUGAUUGCAUAUGUUGCUCAUUAUCUCUUUUCCCAUGUUGGCAGUACUAAGUGGCUUCGCACUGAUGCAAGACGAACAGCAGCCGGCUUAGAUGAGUCACUUGAGUGGUGUCUUGAAAACAACAUGAGCAAGACUGGGGUUGAUGGGCAUUUGCGACUGUCCCUUUUUGAUGGAAAUGUUUUUCAGCUGAAUGAAUCCCACCUUGUCAAGCAAAAGAUCAGUGAUCUCGUGCAAGGUCCAAAUGUUACCGUGAUCAUGGCUCUAUAG